GACGAACGCUGGCGGCGUGCUUAACACAUGCAAGUCGAACGAAGAGCGAUGGAAGCUUGCUUCUAUCAAUCUUAGUGGCGAACGGGUGAGUAACGCGUAAUCAACCUGCCCUUCAGAGGGGGACAACAGUUGGAAACGACUGCUAAUACCGCAUACGAUCUAAUCUCGGCAUCGAGGAUAGAUGAAAGGUGGCCUCUACAUGUAAGCUAUCACUGAAGGAGGGGAUUGCGUCUGAUUAGCUAGUUGGAGGGGUAACGGCCCACCAAGGCGAUGAUCAGUAGCCGGUCUGAGAGGAUGAACGGCCACAUUGGGACUGAGACACGGCCCAGACUCCAACGGGAGGCAGCAGUGGGGAAUCUUCCGCAAUGGACGAAAGUCUGACGGAGCAACGCCGCGUGAGUGAUGACGGCCUUCGGGUUGUAAAGCUCUGUUAAUCGGGACGAAAGGCCUUCUUGCGAAUAGUUAGAAGGAUAGAACGGU
rnacentral:rRNA from 1 species